UACGGAGGGGGCGAGCGUUAUUCGGAAUUACUGGGCGUAAAGCGCGCGUAGGUGGCUUUGCAAGUCGGGUGUGAAAUCCCCAGGCUUAACCUGGGAACUGCAUUCGAGACUGCAUUGCUAGAGUAUGGGAGAGGGAAGUGGAAUUUCCGGUGUAGCGGUGAAAUGCGUAGAUAUCGGAAGGAACAUCAGUGGCGAAAGCGACUUCCUGGACCAAUACUGACGCUCAUGUGCGAAAGCGUGGGGAGCAAACAGG
rnacentral:rRNA from 1 species